UCUGUAGGAUGCUUUCUCUGCUGAUCCGUUAUCGCCGCAAAUGCCAAGUCUAAACAGCCUGACCUUAGCUUUAUUAAGAGCUUUCUGUUCACCGAGAGUUACUAUUCAACAGGAGAAAAAAGCUGCAGUGCUGCUAGGAGGUGUGCGUGAGUGUGUGUGAGUGUGUGUGUGUGUGUGUGUGUGUGUGCUCGCGCGCGUGAGAGGGAGGGGGGCACGAGGGAGAGGGAGAAACUCAUUUGUUUGAAAAAAACGUUCAUUUUCAUUUUCUUUCUUUCCUAGUUUUCUUUUUCACCCCGUAUCCUAAUGGAAUAAUGGACUCCUGUGCGUGUUUACAUAUGUGUAUUUCUCAUUAGAAAUAUAUCAACUACGGAAACCAAAUAUAAUUGAGAAAACUAUGUUUCAUCCCUUUCCAUGUCUGACUUUGAUCUAACAUUGAGGGGGAGGGAAAAAAACAAAAACCAAACCUUUGCCCCUCUCCCACCAAUCCCCAAGCUGAUAAAUAGGAAGGAGAGACAACUGCCCUCCCUCACUUCAGCACGUUGGGCCUCCUGGAGUGAAAAAUGAAGGUGAUGGUGACCAACCGGAAGAGCUCUAGUGAACCUAUUUAAACAACAGACAGCAAGAGAUACCUGUCUCAGUGGAGGCGUUCGGAGCAUCACUGAGAAUCCCUAAAGGGACCGAACCUUCUUUCUUUUCUUUUCUUUUCUUUCUUUUUCUUUUUCCUUUUCUCUCUUUCUUUUUUUUUCUUUUUUCUUUUUUCUUUUCUUUUUUUUGCUUAAAUAGGGAGCCUGUUUGAUAGCAGGGCUAGGUACUUUAAACACCUGUGGAAGAGAAACCACAGAAGGCAAGGACAUGAACCGAUUAUCUCUAUCAGAAAUCCUCUGUAUGAGAGAAAACACCCUUUCUUGGGAAGAGGAGGAGGAGGAGGAGGAAAAGAAGGAAGAAAAGGAGGAAGAGGAGGAGAAAGAGGAAGACUUAGAACAUCCUAAUUUGGAUGGGGAAGACUGCACACCGAGGGAUGAAGGCAGAGGGGCUGGUCUUCGCUGUUGCUUUAAUGUCUCAGGGUAGUCCACCAGUGGUCCAGACAUAUUGGAAGACACUUUGGCUGGGGGGAAGGUAAGUCCAGACCACAUCCAAAAUGAAAACCAGUUAAGACAUAAUUAGCAAAAAAUAUAUGGUUAUUGCCUUGUAAUUGACAGAUGGAAACAUUGUGUUCUAGGCUAUGCUAUGAUUUGAAAAGGUAGGAAGAAAAAAAAUUUAAUCUCCCUGGCCCCUCCUCCUACCAUGGUAUUUACUAACUUCAAUUAAAAAAAAAUUGUUUUCAGCAUUAGCUCUUUUGGGUCAUUUAGAGAAUAAAAAAAAAUUACUGUCUAUUAUGUCUAAGAAUAAAGGGGAUUUUUUUAAAAAGUGGAAAACAUAUUGUUCCAGUUACACAAACAAUGCAGAUACUUUUUUCUUUGUUUCAGUUUAUGAUAUUAAUAUUGACUUUUCCCUGUGUAUUCAAUCCCAGUGCUAACUGUUCAGUAACUAGAAAAAGAAAAGAGGGUCAAGAAAUGUGUUUUAUCCAAAUAAGAGUCUUUGCCCCCCCAAAAAAAAUCCAAAAGGUUUAAUCAUUUCUAAGUCUAAAACCUUUCCUUGAUUCUUUCUCAAGCGGGACAUUUGUUAGGUUCUUGUUGCUUUAAGAAAUUUAUUAGAUGAACUUGAUAAGAUUUCAAUGAUCCAUAUAAACAAACUUUAUACCUUUAGCUCUUGAUUUGACUGAAAGGAUGGUGAAGGUUCAGUUCAUUAUUUCUGGCCAAAACAAUCUGAUAACUCCAUAUGUUAAAUAUUCUUGGACUUUUAAUUACCUAAGCAGUUAUUAGGAUACUUGCUGUUAGUAUGUGUUUAAAAUAUGGAGUGGCUUUUCAGAUCAGCUCCACAGGAACUGAGAAUUUGAACAACUUUUCGGUUGCUGCAUAUUGAAUAUAUAUACAUAAAAACUCAAUUCUUUGCCAUCAACUUCAUUCAAUACCUUAAAUAUUAUAAUAGUCUAGUGAAUUGUAGUUUCCCAAGUCCUUCAAUUCUACCAGACAUUUCUUAGGCUCACUACUUCUGCCUAAGAGAUAUUUACUUGCUAUUUGACCAUGGACAAGUUACUUAACUUUUGUCUGCCUCAGUUUCCUCAUGUGUAACAUAGGUUGAAACCAAUACUUCCCCUAUAGGAUUAUCAUGAGGGCAAAAUAAAAUAACAUACAUAAAAUACUUUGAAAACCCUUAAAGUCCUUGGAAAUGCUAACUUUUUAAUAUUAUUUACUGAAAUAUAAACAUUUUAAAAUAAAUUAUUGGUUCUCUCCAAAAGAAGUUACUUUUUCCUGUUUUAUAUCUAUACACACUUUUUUCCAAAAACAAUUUUCUAAGGACUGAAAUAAUUAUUAUAUAACAUUGGUGCCUAAAGUGGAUCUUAUAAAAUUGCUGAUUACUUGGUGUUCUUUUCUCUUUUCCAGGACCAUGUGGUCAAACCCUUGUUUCUUUCUCAUUCUGAAGCACCAUAUUUUAGUUGCUUGAAGUGUUCUCACCCAGCAUCCAAGUUUACUUUCUAAUCUCUAAUCAAACAGGAGACAAAACACAAGCAAAGAAUUUUAAUUGAAAUUUUAAUAUGUAUUCCAAGCUGCCUGAGAUUUAUACAUAGAGUUGGCAUUCUGUGUAUCUUACUGACUACAGGGAGGCAAUUUUUCAUUGGGCAAGAGGAAGAUUAUAUCUAUACAUACACACACACAAAUAUAUAUCUACAUGUUUAUGUGUAUAACUUUGUAGGAGUGAGUUAUUUACAAAGUGAAGACACAGAACUUUGGUAACUAAUGGAUACCUGAUGCCAGAGUGUGGCUUUUCCGUGUGAAUGUAUAACUGAAAUAUAAUAUUCUUUCUGGAGAGGAGGAUCCAAAGCUAAAAUUCUCAAACAUGAGGAUAUUAUGUAAUAGAGGAAAGCUGGUUUUAUGUGUCCUUUUCCUUUGGGACAUAAAAUUCUAAGUCUUUUAGUUCAAGCCAUGCAGAUUCAAAGGGGAAUAAAUACUUAGCCACACGUUUGGGGAAUCAAUCCCAGAUUUUUGCUGCUGCUAAGAAAGGAGCCAAACUCUUAUUUGUCUUCCUCCUAAAUCAUCUAGCUCAUGAAACAUUUUUGGGGGGAGGGAGAGGAGGUAAUGGUGUGGUGUGUAUUUCUUUUCUUCCUUCCAUGAAAUAAAAGGAUUCUCAUUUGAAACAAGAAUUGGGAAGUGCAAAGUACACUUUUGGACUUCCUUUAAAAUUCUUAGCUGCCCUUAUUCCUGAGGCAUAACAACUAUCAAAGUCUGAGCUGUGAACUUGAAGCUGUUUGUGUGUUGAGGAGUGAGACUGGGAAAGUUUUAGUGUCAGGACAGAAGCAUGUGAAUAGGGGAGAGCCCUAAAAUCUUGGGAGGAAAAGCAACUUCUCUCACAAGACAGACAGAUUGUUACUGAAUACAUACAUGCACGUGUAGACCCACACAAGCCUUUGAUGGAGAAUUUCUUUUACUCUGUCAAUUUUAUUAGGGUUUAUAACUAAUGAAAUAGUAAUAUUAGGUCAUACUGGUAUAAUUUUUUAUGGUUUGCAAAGAACUUUAAAGAUGCGAUCAAAAUGAAAUUUUACAACCCUACAAGGUCAAUGCUAUUAUUAUUCCCAGUUUGCAGAUAAAGAAACUGAGUCUCAGAGAGGUUAACUGGCUCACCUAGGGUCAUAUAGCUAGAAAGUGUGGGAUUCAAACCCAGGUCUUCCUGACCCAUGAGCAUUUAUUGCUGAAAGCAUGGAUCCUGGCUAUUGCAGAGCUAUUAGGCAUAUCAGCACCAGAUGCUUGUCGCCAGCCAGUUUGAGCCAAGGAGCUUGAUUUGGGGGUACAUCCAGGGUUGAACUAUAUAUGUCAGAGAUAGUGAGACAAUUGGAUAACUAUUACCAAGAUAGUAGUGCCGGGGUGAAAUCUUGUCCAGUGUUCAGGUCAAAAGUAGUCAUGCCCAACAAUGAUCACAUGGCCAAGUGCUACGGUUUAGCCAUCUAUUUCCCUGACAAUACAAGAGACAAUUACAUGAACUUGCAAGGAAAAAAAAAUUGGCCACCUGGCAUUCACUCCAGCCUCAUUUUGUAUGUGCAUUUGUAAUCUCCCCUAGUGGCAUUUUUCUUUUUCUUUUUCCUUCUUUGAAUCAACCCUUAUCCAUUUAAGAUAAAAAAUAGAAAUAAUGCAUACAAAGCACUUUGUAAACUGUCCAGCACUAUCAAAAUGUCACCUAUUCUUAUUAGGCAUAAGUUAUUUGUUUAUUAAAAAUAUUCCAAGAAGGGAAAUUGUCUCUUGAGUUUACUAUGAUGUAUAUCUUUGAAAGCAUCCAAGAAAAAAAAAAAGAGAGAAGCAGUUUAUAGCACUUAAGAGUGAUAAGAAUGAAAAGUUUUCCCAUGUAUUAAUGCUUCUUGGUAGGGCUAGUCAAUGUUCUCUGGUUCUCUGCCUUUUUCCCCCUUAUUCCCCCUUCAGGUUGGUUUACUUCUAUACCACUUAAUUUAAGAGAAGUUUUACUCUUGAGUCUAAAGUACAAAGUAUGCAUUAAAUAUUUAUCUCCCAUUUAAAACAAAGUCAAUCCUUAAAUACUCUUGUUAUAGGAAUUACAGGGGAUCCAGGUGAAAUAAAAAAUGUGGAAUGCAAUAUUUUCAUAUUUUACUAUGGAGGUGGAAAAAGUGAGGAGAGUCGAUUUUCCAGGUUGUAUUUUUUUUUAUGUAAUUUGGAAUUGCCAUAGUGUAAUGACUUAUGGACUCUCUUGAGAGACUCCCGUCUUCCCUCCCCUUCAAUAAAUAGAUAUAAAAAUAGAUAGUAAUGAGGAAAUAAGCAAAUAAAGUGAAGCUAUGGUGCUUUAGAAAAGCUGUUCAGUGGUGCACAGGUAUGUAGUACAGGUGUCACUGUUAUUAACUGCUGUGUGUGGCUAAACUUCCUCUUGCUGCUUUGUACAUUUACUCUGUGGUUUUGAAAAGGGAGCCUUGGAUGAGUACAGAACUUGUUGGGCAACAGACUUUCCUAGUCAGACUAGCAGACACAUUGUGUACUCAAAGUCAAAAUAUGGCUUGUAUUUACCCAGGCACUGGUCAGCAAUUCAUCAAGACUGAGUUUUUUCAAAGUCCCAAACAUUUGUUUUCUCUGUGUUUUAAGCUUCUUUUCCUUUCCCCCCCCCCCUCUCCUCUCCGUUUUUUGUCUGUUUUUCUUAACUUCUUUAAAUAAAGACAAAAAGCCUCCUUUUUCCACUCCCUCAUAUACUGACUGACACAACUUAAGUGAAUAUAGAAUAUUAAGAAAUUUUGAAUUAGACUAAAAAGUUACCUCCAGUUAAAAAUAAAAAAAGUUAGGUAAUUUUUAAAAAAGUCUAAAUACAUUGAGAUUGUAGAGAAGAAGAAUUCCUCUGAGAUUCCUUAAUUGGAUUGACUGAUUUAAGGAAAAAGACUUUGGGAGAGGUGAGAAGGCUGGAAGGUGGUAGGACAGAUAAUGGUAUACCUUUAAUAUUUGUUUUCAUGGUUUUCUGUGAAUCGCUGGUAUCAGACUGGAAAGGUUGGGGCUGAAGAGACCAGCAAUAACCCUCCCUCCUCCAAAAAAUAAUCUGUGUUCCUCUGUAGUAAUUGGAUGGGAUGGGAAGAGGUAGGGUGGGGCUGUUAAUCUUUGGGAAAAAUUAUGCUUGUGAUCAAGUGACCUAGCCUAGAAACUUUGUGUUUCCAUAUUUUUAAUUGUUCAGAAGCCCUGGGACCUUUAGGAGGUUACUUUGGACGAUUCUAGUUUAUACACCUUUCUUUGAAAAAUAAUCAUUGCUUGGUUGUGUUAAUUGGCAUUUCAUUUACAAACUGAAUCUUCUUGGUGGAGAUAAUGUGGCACAAAAUUUCUCCCUAGAAUAAACUGUUUCAAAAAAUGUCUAAAAUCCCAUCUUUAUAAAAACAAAAAUUGCACCGGUGUGUAGAGUUCUUUUCCAGCAAUCAAAUGUAAAUGAAAUGAGUUUGGAGUUUGUUUGUUUUUUGUUGUUUGUUUUUUUUUUGGUUUUUGCCUCCACUGGUUAUUAUAAGAAGACCUUUGUGCUGGACCAAAAAGCACUAGUAAAUAAGGAGUUAAAAUGAAGGCAGGCUCACUGGUUUGCUGAGAUCUGUCAGAGUCUGACUGGCUGGCUACAUAUCUGUCUCUGGAACAAUAGGUACCUGCAUUCUGCACGGACUGCUGGGCAGACACCAGCAGCCUGGAGAAGGUCUGCCUCUGUCAGAGGUUUCUUAGUAAGAAUCCCUAAUGACAGGCCCACUUUUCGGUGGGGGGGGAAAUCUGUCUACUCUCUUGAUGAAGGACAGGACUUUGAUCCUUUCCACUGAGCCUUGACUUGGUCUGAGGUUUUAGGUUCCCAGUCCUGAAGUUAGCUGGCUCUCUCCCUCCCUCCCUCCUUCCCUCCCCUCUCUCCCUCUCCCUCUCUCUCUCUCUCUCUCUCUCUCUCUCUCUCUCUCUCUCUCUCUCUCUCUCUCUCUCUCUCUCAGUCUCUCUCUCCCUACCUCCUUCCCUCUCUCCCUCUCUCCCUCCCUCCCUCUCUUACACACACACUCUCCCUCUCUCUCCCCCUUUCUUCCUUCUCUCCUCUAUUCUCCCUCUACUCUUUUCUUUUGCUUCUUCUCUUCUCCUCUCCUCUCUUCUCCUCUCCUCUCUAUUUCCUCUCCCUCUCCUCUUCAUUCUCUUCUCCUCUCUUCUCUCUCCUUUUCUCCCUCUCUCUCUUUCUCUCACCUCUCCUCUCCUCUCUCUCUCUUUUCUCCUCUCCUCUCUUUCUUUCUCUAUCUGUCUCUCUCUCUAUCUGUCUCUCUGUGCUCUCUCUCUCUCUCUUUCUCUCUCUCUCUCUCUCUCUCUCUCUCUCUCUCUCUCUCUCUCUCUCUCUCUCUCUCUCUCUCUCACACACACACACACACACACACACACACACACACAAUAUCUUACUUCCAAUCCACUCCCCCUCACUGCUGUACGCGGGGCAGAUUAGUAUCACAGCUGUAACUGAGUCAAGGAAGCCGUAAACACAGCAGACCCAGUCUCCAUGGUGGCAGGAGGGGGCACUGGAGGUGACAACAAUGGAGAAGGACCUUUCUUCUGACAAGUUUUAGAUACUCUGGACUGAUUGAACACUGUCUUGACUCUUCUAUAAUGACUACAGCAAGAGCAGAAUGGCUUCAGGGAACACAUUCAGCCAAACCCCCCCAAAAGGCUUCCCUGGGGUGAAACAAAUGCCUUUGAGAUUUAACUCAGGUGGAAUGGGUGCUUCAUUAGGUGCUGGGAAAAAAUCUACCAAUAGGCACCAAGGAUUGAAUCCCCUGGAACCACAUACAGUUGGCAGCAAAAUUUUGUCACAGAUCCAGUUGAGAAAGAAAGCACAUUCCCCGACAGGAAAAUAUAAAUCAUGUAUGAAAUCAGCUAAAGAACAUUUUGGAUAUCAUUCAGCAGAUUAUAUUCUUUGUCUUGUUCCAUUUCUCUUCAAGUUGACAGCUAAAGAGCAGUCUUAGAGCAUGAAGGCAGCCCAGUGCCAUUUUCUUGGGGCCACCAACCGAGAGUUAAGCUACCUAACAUUUCGAAAACCCAGCCCAUUUCACUCACAGCAGGCAUGGCAGUGGGUGACGGAUCGCAUCCCGCCAGCUGGCUAAUAUCGUAAUUAACAAAGUUGCAACCACAUCGGAGAAGUUUAAUCGAAAAAUUUGCCGGCAGUAUGAUGGCAUUGUCACAGAGAUCACAAGCUAGGCAGACAAGACUUUCAUUCUGGGAGACCGCAAGCUGAGGAAGUCUGAACUUGGCCAGCCUAAGGGGCCCCUGCAAGAGAGUUUCCAGUCUGCAUUUCCAGUCCCCAGUGGCCUAGUCAUGACUGGAGCUGGGCUUACUCUGGAGACUGUGGACCCCAAAGGCCAGGAAAACAGAAGUUUGGAGUAUUUACUCAUAGGAUUGAUUUUUCUAUAUGGAAAACAAAAAUGUGAAAGAGGGAAAGCAUCAUCAGAAGACAUUCACAUGGAGAAAUUCUUUGACAUCACAUGGUUUCCGAUCAAUGGUUUCUACCAGAGCUUCAUUUUGGUUUCUUAAACUAUGCAUGACUUUAAGUUUUUAAUGCAUAUUUAAGUUUGUACAAAGAGAGAAAUGAGGUUGUUUCUAUGAAUGGGGGUGUGAUAUAUAUAUAUCACACCCCCAUUCAUAUAUAUACAUAUAUAUAUAUAUAUAUAUAUAUAUAUAUGCAGUCAUUUUAUCCCCAACAAUUCUGUUAAACUUUGUGAUAGUCACAACCUAGAAAUCUUUGGCUUUUGACCAGAUGAACAUGGAGAGCAGGUACUCUGAUGAAAGACAAGCUGGUUCUCUAUGUAUGCUAAGUCUGAUAUUCCCCUUAUUCUACAGUAUGACUUGAUAUCAAAUAUCAGAUGGGGAAGUUUGGAAGUUUCGGGGACUUCUAUUAAAUUGUUCCAUUAACUCAGUGAAUGGCACAGAUAGAUCUGUGCACGUACAUGACAAGUGUGCAAUUUAAACAUAGGGACUUGAGAUAAGGAGGCAAGAUGGCUAACUGGGAAUGGAUUUUAUGAUCCCCCUCACACUGCUGUGGGUAUAUCACUUUUUGGUAGUAAAUUUGAAACUUAGAUGUACAAAUUAAUUCUCUUUCAUCACUGGGUAACAUUAUUAGAAUUGACUUUAUCUUGUUGUGAUGUCCUUGGCUCACCUGGAAGGUGAAAUUGGUUACAUGGAUUAUUAUUCCAAUCAGUUCCAUAGGGUCUCUGAGGUUUUUUGGUGGGGAGUAGCAUUUUGAGAUAACUAUCAUUUUGCUACAAGUUACCCAUUGUUUAGGGACAAGGUAGGGAACAGGAUAGAUUGACUUUCUCUGGCUAGGGGAAAACAGAUUUGAAACAAGGGCAGAGGAUUGACAAAUGCUAUAUACAAGUCAUCUCUUUAGCCCUCUCCUUUUCUAAGAUUUUUUUUUUUCUUUAUAGUGGGUGAUUAAGGCAUUCGACAGAGGCAGAGAUAGGGGUGAUUGCAUCUAAAAUUAAACACUUUGAGGACAAGAGAGCAUUUGUUAUUUGUCCUUGAAUAAUCCCCAGUGCCUAAAACUAUAUAUUGCAACAACCUGGUGAUUUAUGAAUGAAUGAUUAAAUGGAUGAUGAAAUAAUUUAAUCUAAUGAAUGAACAAACAAAUGUAAUAUUUUGAAAUCUUAAUAAGGGGAUUAUGUCUUGUGUCACAACCCAUAGUUUUCAGAGUAUUCAGAGUAUAGAAAUAAAAACAGUGGAUGGUGGUGAUUUAUGCAAGUUAAAGGUAAAGAAGAAUCAGGAAAGCUAAUAGAUGAUUCCUAUUGGAUAACAGAACCAUAAAUCUGUGAAGAACUCUAACUCCCUUUUUCUCCCUACAAAGAGAAUUCUCUUUAUGGAAGAUUAUUCUUUCUUGAAAAAAAAAAGACUAGAAAAUCAAAUAUUAGACUGAAUAUAUUUUAUACAUACUAUGGAUAGACAAGUAUUAUUCUUGUAGGAAUCUUCAGCAUUCAAAUUAUUCUUAGAAUCAUGAAGUGUCAAAGGUGGAAGAGACUCUUAUUUAGCUUUCUCAUUUUAUGAAUGAGGAAACUGAGGUCUUUAAGGGAUAUGAUGACUUAUCCAAGACUAAGUGAGAGAAACGUGGCUUGCCCUCUGAUUCCUCUGACUCAGUCUAAAUAUAUUUCUCCAUGUUAUCCUGCAUUAUACUUGCCUGUGGAAAACAGCAUGUUGUAUUCAAAAGAGUGCUAUCCUUGGCUUCAGGAGAGAUCUGGAUUCAAAUUCUACCUUCUGCAUUUAUUAGCUGGGAGGCCUUGUUUAAGUAAUCUUAACCUCUCUCAGCUUCUGUUUCCUCUACUCUCAAAUGAGAAUAAUAAUACCUGUAGUAACUGUUAUUGUGGUGGGGUAUUAUCUAUAUACUUUCUUCCUCCACAAAUUCUUCUGAGGGUCUAGUUUUUAUUUUUAAAGCUUCCUGUGAACCAAUGGAUAAAUACAAAACAAACUUUCUUGAUGCUGAUGGCAGUUUUAUAAUCAAGCUCUCCCUCCAGCAGUACUAAAUAUACAGAGUUCUUGGUGAAGGAAUUUGGUUGCUGAUUCCAGGUAAGUUAGUCCUCUUGUGUCACUGCUGUACCUGAGUGGGCUCCUGAAGACCAGCAGCCUAAGGAAGACUCAUUUGCUAGGUAGAUGAAAGGGCAGAGACUUGAUAAAUCUUUGAAACCAGUGUGAGUAAGAAUCUCCAAAGCUGCCUCAACACCUGUUUAGUGCUUUCAUAGAUGGUCUUCUAUUGUGAGCUUUGAAAAGUUGUAGCAACAUCUCCCUCAUAAUACAUCAUCUUAGAGGAUUUUGAUGGGGGUAUUGCAAAGGAAUGAAUUGGUUUGAAAAGCAAGUAGGACUUUCAAUACACUGUCACAAAAUUAGUUCUCACUUUCUCUCCUCCUCCUCCUCCUCCUCUUCUUCUCCCCUUCUUCUUCUUCCUCUUCUUCUUCUUUUUCUCCUUCCUCUCCCUGCCCCCUCUCCAUUGUCUCUUUCUCUUUUUGUGUCUUUCCUAUCCUAUCCUUUUCUCUCCUCCUCAUUUACCUCCCUCUCCUUUCCUCUUCCUCUCUUAACCUCUCCCCUUGUUUCUUUGAAUAUGGUUAUGUCCCUGGAACAAUCUACCUCCCCUGAAAUUUUUGGAGGACUUCAAAAUGCUUCCUUUGGAAUCCACAAUCACCCCCAUUGGACAGAGAUUUUAAAUAAUAAUAAUAAGAAUGAAUUCGUCUAUUCUGAAGAUAUCACUGCACAAGGCUCCUCUUAAACAUAUAGCUUUCUGUUCUCUCUGAGGAAAGUCAGGAGACUAAAUCAGGUAAAUUUAUUCAGGAUGAACUCUGAGUAAAUAACCUCUGUGAUAUCCUCAUAAUCUCAAUUUGCCAUCAGGACUAAGAAAAAGCAGUAUUUGCUUUCUUUUAAUUGGAAACCCACCCAGAAGGUCUCUGUCCCCUAACCUUCACCCCUAAGAACAACAGAAUCUCCACAUGGUUUCUCACAGACCUAAAGCAAAGUUACUGUGAAAUAUUUAUGGAUAUAGAAAGAAAGAACUCCUUAUUAAAAUUAAACCAGAACCUAAAGAAGGAGAAUUUCCAGGCUUGAACUUAUCUUGAUAUUUUCAGAAAUUCAUUCUUUGAUUGACAAUUUAUAGUGACAGGAAAAAGUGAAAUAUUCUAUAGCCUCAUAUGAGUAAGGAUUAUUAUAAUGCUUCUCCUCUUAUUUUAUUCCCGGUUUAAUUACUUCCAAAAAUGAUGGUGGUGCAGGUAAAACUAGGCAGCACUGAGCAGAAUGAAGCAGGCAUUCAUUGCACUAAAUAUGGAAAUGCUCAUGUUCCAUUUAUCCAUAGCAACUUCCUGGCCAGACACCACAAGAUCAACUCAUUAUGGCAAUAUACUCAGUUUUAAAAUUUUCUUUAAAGUAAAUGAUUAAUGAAAUUAAAUGAUUACAUUUUGAUGAACCAUUAAAACCCACUUUUUCAUAUUUUUUUGGUGUCAAAACAAAAUUCCUCCUGCCAUACAUCAGAUGGCCUCUUUAUUUAUUUUAUUUUGUUCUCAUAGCAUUUCUCUUGUGCAAUUUUUGGAUUUGUCAUCAGAGUCCAUGAAGUCUUAAUCAUUUUCCCUCUAAUUUCCUAGGGGGAGGGAUCAUUGACUUAUUGAAUUGGUUGUAGUAAAAACAACCAUCACCAAAAAUAGUAAAAAAUAAAAACCCCGAAGAUCAAUCUGGCAUUGUAGGUUAAUAGUAGGAAACAAAGAGUAGUCAUAAUUAAAUGAGAACAGGACUUCAGAUGUUCAUUCCAGUUUAUAAUAAAAAGCCCCUCACCAAAGUGUCUUGGAAAAUAAUGCAUUCAGACUGAGCAGAAUUACCGCCUAGCAGAUUCUAUUUAUCUGUAGCUUAAAAAGCAGCUGCGUUUUUGUAAAAAGCAAUGAAUGUGGCAUUCCUACUUAAAGGUGGAAGGAAAAAAAAAACCACCCCUUGUUUUGUAAUAAGGGGAUUUUCAAUUUAAAAGAGAGAGCAGGCCUGUUGUGUGAAGUAUGGUUAUUACAUUCACUGUAUUCUAUCUCCCCCACCAGGAGGCUAAUAAUGAGGAGUGAGGGAAGGGGGCCAGGGCCAUGAGGGUUAUCUCACAGUCCCAGAUGCUGGAUAAGUUGAAGGAGGCAGAGUCACUUUUGGAUGACAUUCAGAAAGGCCUGAAUGCUUAUUGGGAGAAGAAAAGGCUAUUCUUUCCAAGGUGUGUGGCAUCUCUCCCCUCACUGGUCCAGCGAUGAGCGCAGACGGUCUGCCGGCGUAUCCUGAGACAAAGAAUUCGCUCCGGAGCCCCACCACACCUAAAAAAAAAAUGCUUUGAAGGGAUUGCCAAGCUCACUUUUAAUCAUGGGAAAGAAAUUACCCACAUGGAGUCAGCAGAAAAUGAAAAAGUAGGCCUCGUGCUGAGAUAAUUCCAGCGAGUGCCAAGGGGCUAGUUGAGAUAUGGCUUCAUGAGCGUUUGUCAGGAUCCCGACAGAUCCCGUCCGUCCAUCCGUCCGUCCAUCCGCCAUGGGUCCUUCUUGUUAUUUACUUUUACUCGUGAGUUUGCAAAUAUGCAAAAUCCCAUUCAGGGACCAUGGGGAGCCCCUGGCUGCCCCUGGCUGUGUGUAUUUGUGUAUCUCUCUGUUUGAGUAUCUGUCUGGUACUUUCUGUCUCUGUGUAUCUAUGUAUCUUUGUUCUUGUCCUUGCCCCUUCCUGAGGAGAAUAUCUUGGGUUUUCAGAUGGGAAGAUGGACAAGCGGAUGGGGGAGGGCCGAGGUUAUGAUUUAAUUUGGGGUGGGGGGAAAGGUGCGUGUCACCUUGAUAAUUAAUGAUCAAUCUUAAUUUCUAAUCCAUAUUAAAGGACAGAGGGGAGACAUCCCCUGAGGACACUAAGCUAACCUGCCUUCCCUUUGGGGGACCACAAUUCCAAUUAAACAUCAGUUUCAGUGUGAAA